rnacentral:rRNA from 1 species
AGGUGAGCGAGCGAACUCUCGUUAAGGAACUCGGCAAAAUGACCCCGUAACUUCGGGAGAAGGGGUGCUCUUUAGGGUUAACGCCCAGAAGAGCCGCAGUGAAUAGGCCCAAGCGACUGUUUAUCAAAAACACAGGUCUCUGCUAAACCGUAAGGUGAUGUAUAGGGGCUGACGCCUGCCCGGUGCUGGAAGGUUAAGAGGAGUGGUUAGCUUCUGCGAAGCUACGAAUCGAAGCCCCAGUAAACGGCGGCCGUAACUAUAACGGUCCUAAGGUAGCGAAAUUCCUUGUCGGGUAAGUUCCGACCCGCACGAAAGGCGUAACGAUUUGGGCACUGUCUCAACGAGAGACUCGGUGAAAUCAUAGUACCUGUGAAGAUGCAGGUUACCCGCGACAGGACGGAAAGACCCCGUGGAGCUUUACUGUAGCCUGAUAUUGAAAUUCGGCACAGCUUGUACAGGAUAGGUAGGAGCCUUUGAAACGUGAGCGCUAGCUUACGUGGAGGCGCUGGUGGGAUACUACCCUAGCU